AGCCAACGCUGGCGGCAGGCCCAACACAGGCAAGUCCAACGAAGCCUUCGGGCUUAGUGGCGGACGGGUGAGUAACACGUGGGAACGUACCUUUUGGUUCGGAACAACUCAGGGAAACUUGAGCUAAUACCGGAUGAGCCCUUAGGGGGAAAGAUUUAUCGCCGAAAGAGCGGCCCGCGUUAGAUUAGCUAGUUGGUGAGGUAAAGGCUCACCAAGGCUACGAUCUACAGCUGGUCUGAGAGGAUGAUCAGCCACACUGGGACUGAGACACGGCCCAGACUCCUACGGGAGGCAGCAGUGGGGAAUCUUGCGCAAGUGGCGAAAGUCUGACGCAGCCAUGCCGCGUGAAUGAUGAAGGUCUUAGGAUUGUAAAAUUCUUUUACCAGGGACGAUAAUGACGGUACCUGGAGAAAAAGCCCCGGCUAACUUCGUGCCAGCCGCCGCCGUAAGAC
rnacentral:rRNA from 1 species